rnacentral:tRNA from 1 species
GCCUUCGUGGUGUAAUGUUUAGCACACUCGGCGCGUAUUCGAGAGGUCCAGGUUCGAGUCCCGGCCAGGGCA